rnacentral:rRNA from 1 species
UACGUAGGGGGCAAGCGUUGUCCGGAAUCAUUGGGCGUAAAGCGCGUGUAGGCGGCUCGAUAAGUCUGCUGUGAAAGUCCAAGGCUCAACCUUGGGAUGCCGGUGGAUACUGUCGAGCUCGAGUCCGGAAGAGGAGUGUGGAAUUCCUGGUGUGAGCGGUGAAAUGCGCAGAUAUCGGGAAGAACACCCGUGGCGAAGGCGGUUCUCUGGGACGGUACUGACGCUGAGACGCGAAAGCGUGGGGAGCGAACAGG